GGACAUACCAAAAAUAUUUUUUCUCCCAGAAAUGUUUUUGAUAAACAGUCGAAAAUUAAAUUUGCCGAAUUCUUAAUUAUUAUUUUUUUUAAUUUACUAAUUUAAUCAUAAUUAUUUCAAUUUUAUUAUUCAAUUAAACAACUUUACCUCCCCUUAAAGCUAUCUAAUAAAAUAUUAAAUUAAUUUAAUUAAUUACUACAAAUUAAAAUGAUUACUAAUAUUAAGUAUACUACACAAAUGAAACCUUUACCUAAAAAAUUAUAUACAAGAUUAUCCCUGCACAAAUAUAAAAAUUAAACAAAAUAAAUUCAAUUGAUUAAAUCAAAAAUAAAGCAACUAGAUAUAAAAAAUCUAAAUUUAUAUCAAACCCACAUUACUUUUAACUUAUUUUUUUACACAAAUAAAAUUAAGUAAUAUAAAUAUUUUUUAUUCGAGAAAAAAUUCUAAAAUAUAUAUUUAAAUUAACCCUGAUACAAAAGGUAAAAUUAUUUAAUCUUCUAUUCUUUUAUACUUCUACCCUUACAGUUAACAAAAAAAAUUAUUUCACUAAUCCAUUAAUUUAAAUUAAAUAAAAAGU
rnacentral:rRNA from 1 species